ensembl:lncRNA
UGUGUACAGAGUGUGAGGUGGGGGUUUAACACACGUUUGUGUACAGAGUGUGAGGUGGGGGUUUAACACACGUUUGUGUACAGAGUGUGAGGUGGGGGUUUAACACGUUUGUGUACAGAGUGUGAGGUGGGGUUUAACACGUUUGUGUACAGAGUGUGAGGUGGGGGUUUAACACGUUUGUGUACAGAGUGUGAGGUGGGGGUUUAACACGUUUGUGUACAGAGUGUGAGGUGGGGUUUAACACGUUUAGAAAAGUGUUGCUGGCUGUAACACGACUCUCACUGUCACUGAGAUUCACUGCUGAUGAAGACUGAAACUUUUACACCCACCAAUGCACUUCCUCAUUAUGGGUCACACCCACACUAAUAUUGUCUUUAUACCACUAUCUCUGGUUAACACACACACACACACACACACACACACACACACACACAUGCACACACACACAAGAAACCAAACAUGAAUGAAAAUGAUUUAAAAUCGUGAUGGCGUCUACAGUCAGGUCUGUGAGUAAUGAAUUUUCGUAGUGGGAUAAGAAAUGAAGGAAUCGAGCUGUGAUUGAAGUGUAGACUUUCAGCUUUAAUUCAAGGAGUUCAACAUAAAUAUUGCAUCAACAAUUGAGGCGUUAUGGGCAUUUUUUUACAGGCUCAAAAGUAAUUGGACAGGCUAACAUAAUCAUAAAUAUUAGAACUAUUUUUAAUACUUGAAUGCAAAUCUGUUGCAGUCAUUGACCGAUUGAAGUCUGAAAGCCAUGGAC